rnacentral:rRNA from 1 species
GUGUAGCAAUACACAUUGAUGGCGAGUGGCGGACGGGUGAGGAACACGUAGGAAUCUGCCUUAAAGAGGGGGAUAACCGGAGGAAACUCCGGCUAAUACCGCAUAAUACUCUACGGAGGAAAGGCUAGGCAUUUAUGUCUGGCGCUUUAAGAGGAGCCUGCGUCCGAUUAGCUAGUUGGUGGGGUAAAAGCCUACCAAGGCGAUGAUCGGUAGCUGGUCUGAGAGGAUGAUCAGCCACACUGGGACUGAGACACGGCCCAGACUCCUACGGGAGGCAGCAGUGGGGAAUAUUGGACAAUGGGGGCAACCCUGAUCCAGCAAUGCCGCGUGUGUGAAGAAGGCCUUCGGGUUGUAAAGCACUUUAGGUUGGGAAGGAGAUAUGGUGUUUAAGAGAUGUCAUAUUUGACGGUACCAUCAGAAUAAGCACCGGCUAACUCUGUGCCAGCAGCCGCGGUAAUACAGAGGGUGCGAGCGUUAAUCGGAGUUACUGGGCGUAAAGGGCGCGUAGGCGGUUUAGUAAGUUAGAUGUGAAAGCCCUGGGCUUAACCUAGGAACUGCAUCUAAGACUAUUAGGCUAGAGUAUUGUAGAGGGUAGUGGAAUUUCCGGUGUAGCGGUGAAAUGCGUAGAGAUCGGAAGGAACACCAGUGGCGAAGACGGCUACCUGGACAAAUACUGACGCUGA